rnacentral:sRNA from 1 species
GAAAUGAAAGCGAGAUGGCUGCUCUCAUGAGCAA